GUGAGAUGGAAUCAACGUUUGGAUAUGUGAUUUACGUUGAUUCUAUCUCAUGA
rnacentral:pre_miRNA from 1 species